rnacentral:rRNA from 1 species
UACGUAGGGUGCGAGCGUUAAUCGGAAUUACUGGGCGUAAAGCGUGCGCAGGCGGUUUUGUAAGUCAGAUGUGAAAUCCCCGGGCUUAACCUGGGAAUGGCAUUUGGGACUGCAAGGCUUGAGUGCGGCAGAGGAGACUGGAAUUCCCGGUGUAGCAGUGAAAUGCGUAGAUAUCGGGAGGAAUACCGAUGGCGAAGGCAGGUCUCUGGGCCGUACCUGACGCUGAGGCGCGAAGGCUAGGGGAGCGAACGGG